rnacentral:rRNA from 1 species
UACAGAGGGUGCUAGCGUUGUUCGGAAUCAUUGGGCGUAAAGGGCGUGUAGGCGGUUUGUUAAGUCAUGUGUGAAAGCCCCCGGCUCAACCGGGGAACGACGCAUGAAACUGGCAAGCUAGAGUACCGAAGAGGGGGGUGGAAUUCCCGGUGUAGCGGUGAAAUGCGUAGAUAUCUGGAGGAACACCGGUGGCGAAGGCGGCAUCCUGGACCGGCAUUGACGCUGAGGCGCGAAAGCCAGGGGAGCAAACGGG